AUAGCGGAGCUGAGAUGAAUGUUGAGCAGGAACCCCAGUGUAGAAUUUCUUGUUUUACAUGGAAAUUUAAGUAAUUUUUCUAGAUGACCUACCAUUUGCCAGGAACUAUCACAUCAUUUUUGUCCUAUCCACUUUAUAGUCAGAGGGGUAGGAGAUAUGCAUAACAAAACUUGUAGGGAAUACUGCUGGGAACUGAACCUAGCAUGGUUCAACCGAACAAAGAAGAUGGGAACAUUCAUCAGGAAUUAAAGGAGUCGGAAGCCUUGGACGUGCAUUUCCAAGAAUCCCUGCUCCCACCAGAGUCCUGGUUAGAUGCCAUCCGUGAAAGGUACUUGCUCAAUACCUGGAAAGACAAGGAGAAGUAGGAACCAUCUUGUCCUCGUGGCUGCAAUAGACAGGCCAGAAGUCCAAUUUGGAUCUCACUGGGUUAAAAUCAACGUGUUGGCAGGGCUGUGUUUCUUUCGGAAGUCUCUAGGGGAGAAUCUGUGUUCUUGGCUUUUCCAGCUUCUAGAGGCCACCCACAUUGCUUGGCUUGUGAUCUCCUUCCUGCAAACUUAAAGUCAGCAGAGUCACAUCUCUCAGACAUCUGUCGUUGAAUC